rnacentral:lncRNA from 1 species
UAAUCUUGCUCAAAGAAUUCUCCACAGAUGCUUACUCUGGUGUGAGCUGCUGUGCUGAUUCAGUUGCUGUCAAGAAUUUCCAUAGCUCAACUUCCCAAGAGAAGAGAGAUGUUAAUGUCAGUGCCAAAAAAUUCAUACUCAGAUUCACAGCUUUGGCUUGUCAGGGAUUUUAAGGCCAAAAUGGACCAUUGUGAUUAUCUGGCUUGAUCUUCCUGAUAACCCAGGCAAGCAAAGUUCACACCAGGAUUUCUACAUCAAAGCCAGUGACUGGCAGCAGAAUGUGUGUUGGAAAAGGACACAGGGCCUCAGUUCAAAGACUCCGUAUCCAUCUCUCAGUAACCUGAGUCCAUAAUCUAAUUACCACCACUGCCCAAAUGUGAACUUUAUUUCUAUUUGAAUAUAUCUAGCUUUUACAUAUAGCAAAAUUGUUGUUAUUUACUGGAUUUAGGGGGUAUUUUCUACUAAAUUACAUAAUUCCAUGCAUUCACAAACGAACCCACUGUUUUAGCAGUUAUGGAUCAUAUCCGCUUGUCAAGAAAGGAAAUUAAAACCUGUCAUUUUACCUGACAAAAGAUGAGUUAGAGGUUGCAGGUCUCCAGAGCCAAGUACAAGGACACUGAUACAUAAAGCAAUGUUGGAAGUGUAGUAGCGAUGUUUCUGUGGUUGCUGUGAAGAUCAUGAUUGAUACAGGUGUAAUCCAAUAAAGGAAAAAUGAUUGAUAUGUUUAUUAUUUGAAGUUCAGUUUCAACCAUUUUGACUCAGCCUUAAAUGCAUUAAGCUUUAUUUCUACUUAGGAGACACUGCUCAGCUGGUUGAAUUUGGAGGCUCAGGACUCUGACUCUGAAUUUAGAGAAGGUCCAGCUGUGAGGGGGAUGGAGUAUUUCCCAAUGAGAAACAGUUGCUGCUGCGACACCAACGUACUCACAAAGGUUAGUCAACUAAUGAGACUUCAUCGCAAAACCUGUGAAUGAGAGGGAGGAGGGAGAUGAUUUAUUUAAGUGGCUGGAGGGCUGCAGCACCCAAAGCUGCUUCUUGGCCUCGGGUACCUGUACCAGGCCCCUUGAUGGAGACAAGGAGCCACAGCAGAGGAAAGCAGCAUCAGGAUCCUUGUGCUCCAGGUGGGGAGAUGUGGCUUGUACAGAGUCUGUGUCUUGUUUGCCCCAGUGUAAUGCCUUCAGAGUGCCCUUUGCAUAGUUCUUCUGGUGAACUCUUUUAGGGGAGUUUUGAAGCGCUGAAGCCUGUACUCUGGUUACGUAAAUACCUACAUCCACUUCUCUGAGCAGCGCUGUGCUUCCUCUAUUCCCUCCUUCCACCUGCUCUUCCAAGGGGACCACAGUCCUCCUAGCAAGAUCAGUCUGUUGCUAUGGAAAUCUUUGUCACAAAUGAAGAC